UCAAUUUUUGGUUUAGAUCUCCCCAUUCACUGCUGGUAAUGCUCCGAUUGUAUACUAUUACUUCAUCUCUUUCCUUUUUACUUUCUCCUCCCGAAGUCGAUAGGCUGCAAUGCAUCUGCCUGUUGCAAGCCAUCAGAGUAAAAGAAAUAUGGAUGAAAAGAAAGAUCUAUUUUAGGAGUAUGCUGAGAAACGAAAUGGAAUCAAAUGCAAGUUUCGUGGAUGUGUUUAUGCUUGUGGUGCUUCAAGGAUCAAAUCACACUUAGCAGAUGGAGCUAAAGGCGUCCAACGGCUUCAUUUACCCACUUGAAAGCAAAUAGAAAAAAGGUUGAAAUCUGCUACAUCUUGGACCUUGUGCAUCAAAAAACUCUGCUCACAGAUUACGAAAGG